AGUGAACGCUGGCGGUAGGCCUAACACAUGCAAGUCGAACGGCAGCACAUUAAGAGCUUGCUCUUACGGGUGGCGAGUGGCGGACGGGUGAGGAAUACAUCGGAAUCUACUUUUUCGUGGGGGAUAACGUAGGGAAACUUACGCUAAUACCGCAUACGACCUACGGGUGAAAGCAGGGGAUCUUCGGACCUUGCGCGAUUGAAUGAGCCGAUGUCGGAUUAGCUAGUUGGCGGGGUAAAGGCCCACCAAGGCGACGAUCCGUAGCUGGUCUGAGAGGAUGAUCAGCCACACUGGAACUGAGACACGGUCCAGACUCCUACGGGAGGCAGCAGUGGGGAAUAUUGGACAAUGGGAGCAAGCCUGAUCCAGCCAUACCGCGUGGGUGAAGAAGGCCUUCGGGUUGUAAAGCCCUUUUGUUGGGAAAGAAAAGCAGCAGGUUAAUACCCCGCUGUUCUGACGGUACCCAAAGAAUAAGCACCGGCUAACUUCGU
rnacentral:rRNA from 1 species